GAGCAGAUGAUGAAAAGAAGUGAUUAAUUGCUUAUUGGUUAUUCCAUGAAGCUAUCAUCAUAAUCGAGCUUUUUAAAACUGAUGCUCA